rnacentral:rRNA from 1 species
UACGUAGGGCGCAAGCGUUGUCCGGAAUUAUUGGGCGUAAAGAGCUCGUAGGCGGCUUGUCACGUCGAUUGUGAAAGCCCCGAGGCUUAACCUCGGGUCUGCAGUCGAUACGGGCUAGCUAGAGUGUGGUAGGGGGAGAUCGGAAUUCCUGGUGUAGCGGUGAAAUGCGCAGAUAUCAGGAGGAACACCGGUGGCGAAGGCGGAUCUCUGGGCCAUUACUGACGCUGAGGAGCGAAAGCGUGGGGAGCGAACAGG